rnacentral:rRNA from 1 species
CCUAACACAUGCAAGUCGAACGGUAACAGGAAGAAGCUUGCUUCUUUGCUGACGAGUGGCGGACGGGUGAGUAAUGUCUGGGAAACUGCCUGAUGGAGGGGGAUAACUACUGGAAACGGUAGCUAAUACCGCAUAACGUCGCAAGACCAAAGAGGGGGACCUUCGGGCCUCUUGCCAUCGGAUGUGCCCAGAUGGGAUUAGCUAGUAGGUGGGGUAACGGCUCACCUAGGCGACGAUCCCUAGCUGGUCUGAGAGGAUGACCAGCCACACUGGAACUGAGACACGGUCCAACUCCUACGGGAGGCAGCAGUGGGGAAUAUUGCACAAUGGGCGCAAGCCUGAUGCAGCCAUGCCGCGUGUAUGAAGAAGGCCUUCGGGUUGUAAAGACUUUCAGCGGGGAGGAAGGGAGUAAAGUUAAUACCUUUGCUCAUUGACGUUACCCGCAGAAGAAGCACCGGCUAACUCCGUGCCAGCAGCCGCGGUAAUACGGAGGGUGCAAGCGUUAAUCGGAAUUACUGGGCGUAAAGCGCACGCAGGCGGUUUGUUAAGUCAGAUGUGAAAUCCCCGGGCUCAACCUGGGAACUGCAUCUGAUACUGGCAAGCUUGA